CAAACAAAACUGGUUCGCUAAGAGCUCCGACAAUGGCUGUCUGCGCAACUCACUCCUCUCUCAUGAUAGCAUACGCCGCAUCCAAGGACCUUACAAUUCCGUCUCUUUUCUCAUCUGCCAACCCAAGACCCAACAAGUUGAGCGUCGCACUCUAUCCCCCUCUUGUUCUCCUUGCGGGGAGAAGAGCUUCGAACCCAUCCUUCCCGGUGGUUGUCUCAGCCGUAGCCGCAGAGGCUGAUGUCGACACGGAGGACGCGGAGCAGAACGAAGCCACCUCCACCACCGCCACAGCCGUCCUCGAUCCGCCAAAGCCUAAGAAAGGAAAAGCAGCUUUGCUUCUCAAGAGAGAUAGAGUAUGCUUUGCUUAUCCAUCCUUUCCUUUACAAUCCCAAGCUCUAAACAUGAUUUUUUUUUCUUUCUAUGACGAUGAUGAUUCUUUUAUGUUUGUUUGUUUGUUACUCUCAUUUGGCAGACAAGGUCUAAGAGGUUUCUGGAAAUCCAAAAGCUAAGGGAAACCAAAAAGGAGUACGACGUCAAGACUGCUAUAUCUUUGCUUAAGCAAACCGCUAACACAAGGUUUGUGGAGUCGGUCGAAGCCCAUUUCCGUCUCAACAUCGAUCCUAAGUACAAUGAUCAGCAGCUGCGAGCAACCGUAUGGUUUUUUUUAUUUUGCUUUACAUAUAUGUAUAGCUUUGUGUUUCGUUGAAAUUUAAAUCUGAACGCAUUGUCUUUGGUAGGUGAGCCUUCCUAAAGGAACAGGGCAAACUGUUAAAGUGGCUGUUCUUGCACAAGGUAACUAAUUGCCCCCCCUCCCCUCCCCUCCCCUCCCCUCCCAAAUGCUAAGUUAGUCGGACAGUUCAUUCCAAGGGACUCUGUAGAAAAUACUUUGUGUGGUUGACCUUCUAUUAUUUUGUUUGGAUGGAUUGGUGUAUUUCUAUAGAGAAAAAUGUGCUGGGAUCAUUCUUUUCCUUUCUUUCUGUUUCUCUAAGUUAUUUCCAUGAUGAAUAAUAUCCAGGUGAGAAGGUCGAUGAAGCAAAAAAUGCAGGGGCAGAUAUUGUGGGCAGUGAUGAUUUGAUCGAACAGAUAAAAGGAGGGUUCAUGGAGUUCGAUAAGUUAAUUGCAUCCCCGGAUAUGAUGGUCAAGGUGUGUUUUUACUCAUUUGUUAAUAACAAAAAUAAACUUGAAUAGCUGUUACGACAUUCAUUCUUGGCAAAGAAUGUGACAUGAGACAAAUGUUGCUCGUCAUCUCUUAUUACUAAACCUUCUUUAACUUGGGCGGUUAGGUUGCUGGCCUGGGAAAGAUUCUUGGUCCACGAGGACUCAUGCCAAAUCCCAAGGCUGGUACCGUCACAGCUAACAUUCCCCAGGUUAGCCUACUACUUACUCAGGCAGGCAAAAUCAUCUUCGGGUAAUCAAUCAUAGUAUAAUGAUGAUAUGCAUAAAUCUAUCUCAGGCUAUAGAAGAGUUCAAGAAGGGAAAAGUAGAAUUCAGAGCAGACAAAACUGGGAUUGUUCACAUUCCGUUUGGGAAAGUGAAUUUCACAGAGGAAGACCUGCUCGUAAACUUCCUUGCAGCAGUGGUAGGCUGAUUCUCCCCCAUUUAAUAACGUUGUUUAUCUCUUGUGCUGCUGAAUAAAAAGAGUGGAACGUAAAUGCAGAAAUCGGUGGAGACAAACAAGCCAAAGGGAGCAAAAGGAGUGUACUGGAAAAGCGCACACAUAUGUUCGUCAAUGGGGCCAUCCAUCAAGUUGAACAUAAGGGAGAUGAUAGACUUCAAGCCAUAAAUAACCAGCUUAGAAAGAGAUAGAUUGCUAUCAUUAUCCCCUUUGUGGAUUAGGUAGUGCUCUCACUUCGCCUUCUCUACACAAACAAAACUGGUUCGCUAAGAGCUCCGACAAUGGCUGUCUGCGCAACUCACUCCUCUCUCAUGAUAGCAUACGCCGCAUCCAAGGACCUUACAAUUCCGUCUCUUUUCUCAUCUGCCAACCCAAGACCCAACAAGUUGAGCGUCGCACUCUAUCCCCCUCUUGUUCUCCUUGCGGGGAGAAGAGCUUCGAACCCAUCCUUCCCGGUGGUUGUCUCAGCCGUAGCCGCAGAGGCUGAUGUCGACACGGAGGACGCGGAGCAGAACGAAGCCACCUCCACCACCGCCACAGCCGUCCUCGAUCCGCCAAAGCCUAAGAAAGGAAAAGCAGCUUUGCUUCUCAAGAGAGAUAGAGUAUGCUUUGCUUAUCCAUCCUUUCCUUUACAAUCCCAAGCUCUAAACAUGAUUUUUUUUUCUUUCUAUGACGAUGAUGAUUCUUUUAUGUUUGUUUGUUUGUUACUCUCAUUUGGCAGACAAGGUCUAAGAGGUUUCUGGAAAUCCAAAAGCUAAGGGAAACCAAAAAGGAGUACGACGUCAAGACUGCUAUAUCUUUGCUUAAGCAAACCGCUAACACAAGGUUUGUGGAGUCGGUCGAAGCCCAUUUCCGUCUCAACAUCGAUCCUAAGUACAAUGAUCAGCAGCUGCGAGCAACCGUAUGGUUUUUUUUAUUUUGCUUUACAUAUAUGUAUAGCUUUGUGUUUCGUUGAAAUUUAAAUCUGAACGCAUUGUCUUUGGUAGGUGAGCCUUCCUAAAGGAACAGGGCAAACUGUUAAAGUGGCUGUUCUUGCACAAGGUAACUAAUUGCCCCCCCUCCCCUCCCCUCCCCUCCCCUCCCAAAUGCUAAGUUAGUCGGACAGUUCAUUCCAAGGGACUCUGUAGAAAAUACUUUGUGUGGUUGACCUUCUAUUAUUUUGUUUGGAUGGAUUGGUGUAUUUCUAUAGAGAAAAAUGUGCUGGGAUCAUUCUUUUCCUUUCUUUCUGUUUCUCUAAGUUAUUUCCAUGAUGAAUAAUAUCCAGGUGAGAAGGUCGAUGAAGCAAAAAAUGCAGGGGCAGAUAUUGUGGGCAGUGAUGAUUUGAUCGAACAGAUAAAAGGAGGGUUCAUGGAGUUCGAUAAGUUAAUUGCAUCCCCGGAUAUGAUGGUCAAGGUGUGUUUUUACUCAUUUGUUAAUAACAAAAAUAAACUUGAAUAGCUGUUACGACAUUCAUUCUUGGCAAAGAAUGUGACAUGAGACAAAUGUUGCUCGUCAUCUCUUAUUACUAAACCUUCUUUAACUUGGGCGGUUAGGUUGCUGGCCUGGGAAAGAUUCUUGGUCCACGAGGACUCAUGCCAAAUCCCAAGGCUGGUACCGUCACAGCUAACAUUCCACAGGUUAGCCUACUACUUACUCAGGCAGGCAAAAUCAUCUUCGGGUAAUCAAUCAUAGUAUAAUGAUGAUAUGCAUAAAUCUAUCUCAGGCUAUAGAAGAGUUCAAGAAGGGAAAAGUAGAAUUCAGAGCAGACAAAACUGGGAUUGUUCACAUUCCGUUUGGGAAAGUGAAUUUCACAGAGGAAGACCUGCUCGUAAACUUCCUUGCAGCAGUGGUAGGCUGAUUCUCCCCCAUUUAAUAACGUUGUUUAUCUCUUGUGCUGCUGAAUAAAAAGAGUGGAACGUAAAUGCAGAAAUCGGUGGAGACAAACAAGCCAAAGGGAGCAAAAGGAGUGUACUGGAAAAGCGCACACAUAUGUUCGUCAAUGGGGCCAUCCAUCAAGUUGAACAUAAGGGAGAUGAUAGACUUCAAGCCAUAAAUAACCACAUUUGUGUUUUUUUUUUUGUGAGUGUAGGCGAACACCAUUAGUUAUCUCUUGUAUACCUCACCGGUUGUAUCACCUUAACUCUGAUAAGACCAUUUGCUUUAUUGAUUAUUACUGUUAAAAUUGCGAGGCCUCUAUUGCCUUAAUGCCUGCCUUCACCACUGGAGAUGAGAGAACACACGAGUCUUUUUUUUUUUAAAUAAAAAAAAAAACAAAUAUCCUUGAAAUUGGAAGAUAAAAUGAGAUAAUUUCAUGAGGCCGUUACGUUGCGACGUGGCAGCGUUUUCUGCCAAGGAUACAAAGCUCGUGAGUGAGUGAAAAGGAAGGUUCGUAAUCCUUCCUUGCAAUCAAUCGAUCAUUCAUGGCGGAGAACUGCAUAGUUUCGGUCAACCCUAAACCCUCAAAGGGAUUAUCCUCUAAGCUUCUCGAUCUUGUGGAGAGAGUUGUUGUGAAGCUCAUGCACGAUGCUUCUCUGCCUCUCCACUACCUCUCCGGCAACUUCGCUCCCGUGCGGGAUGAAACUCCUCCGGUGAAGGAUCUCCCCGUCGUCCAUGGAUUUCUUCCAGUAAGUGAGCUCUUUAAUUUACACACUCCAUAUCCUUUUCCGAGGAAGGUUCUAAUUCGUCUUUUUUAUAUUUCCCAGGAGCCAAAUAAGAAAAAGAAUACUUAAAUAGAGACAGCGGUCAUGUAAAAGAAAAGAAAGCCAUCAGCAAUUUGAUAAAGAGAAACUUCGUAGCAGUUUCCAAUAUCGUUGUCAAGAAAUGUGGAGGCUAAUCUUCUUUAUUAUUCAUGUGAAGACGACACUGAGAGAGAUAAGGCAAUUGACCUUUAUAUAGAUAAACAAAGAAACAAAUGAAGAAGUUAACCUCCACCAAAUCGUAAAUGUGUCCACCAAUACAUUAUUCUCAACUCUUUUUGCUGCUCCUAGUAGCUUAGGUGUUGAGAGCAGCAGAGACGGAAUGCUUCUGCAAUCUUGGAGAACAGAAGAACUGAAGCAAGAAUUGAUGAAUGGGGACGACAAAUUUAUUAUAUAGAAGCGCACACAUGUCACACAACACCAAGCUUAACAUAUCCAAACGAAUGAGCUUUUGAAUAUAACAAACUAAGCAUGGCACUAGUAACUUGAAACUUUUCACCCACUAAAACUUGGAGAAUUGUUUGUAACUCCAUUUAUUUUGGUUUAAAAGAAAAAGAAGAAGAUCCUUGGCUCUGUGGUUGCUAUUACGUUUGGCCGGAAUCAGUGAAACCAGCCACCUGCUGUCCUCCGGGAUUGAGCUAUCCAGACCAAUCCCUCAAUCAGAGAGCACUUGGCCUUGAACAUUCAUUCCUUGAAUUCACGCUCUUCUGUACUUGUAUCGCGUUCUAGCGAGGCCCAUCGGACCUGAGACCGAAGCGGGUCGCUAAUAAUAACAGGCCCAGUUAUGUGUUCGUCACGUGGCAAACAGACAACCGUAGAUUAUAUAUCAUUAAUUAAUUAAUUACUGGGAUAAAAUUUAUUUUUCUUUCAUAGCCCCCGAGCGGAUCGGAGCAACCUUACUUGCUUGCUAGCUUAAUCGCAAAACGGCGAAGCGAGCAAGAAUCAUUGUCUCAUACUCACAUCCCUUUAGGUAUCUGUCUUCACUCUUGUAUUUCUCUUUUUAUGCUUAUUUUGGGGGUUUAGGGUUUUUCUGAUGACAGAUCUGAUUAUUUGAACUUUUAUUUUAUUUAUGGUUUCGAUAGAGCCUUUGCGGUUAUCUUCAGGGUCGCUUUUGUAUUGUCGGACUGCUUCAAAUCUCAUGUUAACUUGAUAGUGUUCUUGAUGCCCCCACCUCCCUAAAUCAUGAUAGCAUAUCUUUAACUUCUUGCUUUGCUUGUGGUACUAGCAAUGAGUAGUAGUAAGAAGAAGAAUCCAACUGUAUUCCUGGAUGUCUCCAUUGGCGGGGAUCCCCUUGAACGUAUCGUGAUUGAGGUAUUACAUCCACACUCUCUGUGCCUUUCUUUUCCUUGUCUUAAAGUUUCUCUCUCAAUUGCAGCUUUUUGCUCAUCUUGUCCCCAAGACUGCCGAGAACUUUCGUGCCCUCUGCACAGGUACCCUUUUAACUUUCUUUGUGUGGUAUUCAUGUCAACUUGACAAGAUAAUAAUGGGCUUCUCUCUCAGGUGAGGCAGGCCUUGGCAAGACCACUAGCAAGCCUCUACAUUUCAAAGGAUCAUCUUUCCAUCGAGUCAUCAAAGGAUUCAUGGCCCAAGUAUCUAUCCCUUCUACUUAUUCAUUUUCUUCUAUGCUUCUCAUGGACAAACCAAUUCAUUACCGCUUCUCUUUCCUUCCUCUUUUUGCAGGGUGGUGAUUUUUCUAAUGGAAAUGGUAUUCUUCUAACCUCUUAUCCUCUAAUCAUAUUAUAUAUAAGAUCCUAUGUAUAUUUUUAUGUUGUCUGUACCUCACGGCCGUAGAGGCAGUCUAGUUACUAGUUAGCCACAACACACGUUUAAGGAACUGACACAAAGGAGCUAAUUUUACAUAUGAUGAAAAUGGCACUUUAGAAGGGUGUAUGGGUUUUUUUUUUGAUUCAUUACACUUAGAAUAAAUGAUUUUGAAGGACUUUGGUUGGUUUUCAGGCACCGGCGGUGAGAGCAUCUAUGGUGGGAAGUUUCCAGGUACUACUUUUUUUUAUAACCUCUAUAUUCACCUUUCUUGAGUUGGUAAAAAAUCCUCAAUAUAUUCUGUUACCUCUACAGAUGAGAACUUUGAACUGGACCAUGAAGAAGGUGGAGUCCUUUCGAUGGCAAAUUGUGGCCCAAACACCAACGGGUCACAGUUUUUUAUCCUUUUCAAACGCCAGCCUCAUCUCGAUGGGUAAUGCAUGUUCCAUAGAUAUGGUUAUUUCUUAGAAAUUAAACUCAUUGUAAAAAACAGUUUGAAAUGUUCUGUUUUUUUUCCCCCUGGAAUCAUAUUGUAGGAAGCAUGUUGUAUUUGGGAAAGUCGUUAAGGGAAUGGAAGUUGUCAAGAAAAUGGAGCUCGUAGGGACGAGUGAUGGUAAACCAACCAGCAAUGUCAAAAUAAUUGACUGUGGCGAAGUGUCUCAGUUAAAAGGCGAGGAUGCUGCUGAGAAAGAUAAAGGUAGUGAAGUUAAUUUUUGAUUGUGGAAUGGCUAUGUUUAUGAUUCUUCGGUGAUUUCCAGGGAAAUUGAAAAAAUCUAGCAAAGACUCACGGGAGAAGAGGACUAAGCGAAAAAGAAGAUACUCGUCUUCGUCAGAUUCAUACAGCUCAAGUUCUGAAUCAGAUUCUGAAUCAGAAACAGAUUCAUCCUCGUAUGAGUCUAGUUCUUCCAGUGAUGGGAAGCGUAGGAAGAGGAGGUCAACAAAGAGACACAAAGGCCGACGCGGGGAAAGAAAGAUCAAAGGACGAAAGGGGAAAAAGAAUGCUCGAGGAGAUAGACCACCUCAACGCAGGUCUGGCUAUUAGCUCAGUUAAUGGUAUUUAGUUUAGUCUUUGCCAGUUCUUCUGCGUGAUUCUUUAGUGUGUUUUUUUUUUUACAGAAACAAGGAUAGUUCAAGUGACACCGAGAGUAGCAAUUCUGAUGAUGAGAGAAUGGGCCACGAAAAGGCCAAAAAGUCAAAGAAAGCUAAAGGUAAGUGUAACUCUGUUAAGAAUCUUGGGUCUUUCAGCCUGUAUUUGGCAACUAGUUAUCGUAUGUGGAAGUGACAUUGAAUCUUGCUUUCUUCUUGGAACAGAUGGUGUGCCUGUAAGGAAUGCUGCUGAUUCUAGUCCUGCGGAGAAGAAAUUUUCGGGGGACAAACCAGAUUCUCUUCUGAAUGAAAAUGAACUUGUAGGAAAUGGAAAAGCCACCAAAGUUGAUAAUCAACGUGCGGACUCGGUGAAAUCAAGGUUAAUCCCCCUUACUUUACUUUACUUUGUGUUCUUCAGCUCUGCUUUUGCAUUUAUUUCCGUGUUCUGAUUUGUGGUCCCUGGCAAACUUUUUACCAUGUUCUAUUGCUAUAUAGGAGUAUGAGCCCAGUUUCUAGAAGAGGUCAAAACAGUAGGAGCAAAAGUCCUGCUAGUAGGAGCCCUGUGAGAGAUGUUGGAAAUAGGAGCACAAGUCCUCGCGAGAGGAAAUCUUCAAAAAGCCCAUCUCCAAAUGGUGAGCCCAAGCGCAUCCGAAAGGGGCGUGGGUUCACAGAACGUUAUUCAUUUGCUCGGAAGUACCGUACACCAUCUCCUGAGCGUUCCCCUCCUCGGCGCUGGCCUGAGAGAAGAAGCUUUCAGGACAGGAACACGGACAGGUAACUUAAAUACAUACUGAAAACAAUGAAAGUUGAGACUGUAAGUAAAUAAAUACUAAAGCCUUGUUUUUGUUUAAAUUUGUGGAGGUAUCCAAGCAACAGGAGUUACUCUGAACGCUCGCCUAGACGACGCUUUAGGAGCCCACCCAGGAGAAGGAGCCCUCCAAGGUUGGCUUUCUUUUAUCUCUUUAUGAAGAAGAUUAAACUCCUAAGACAGUCGCUUUACAUAAACUUGUCUGUCGUGCUGCAUAGGUACAACCGGAGGAGAAGAAGCAUUUCACGGAGUCCAGAUGGGCAGCGCAGAGGUUUGAGAGAGAGCCAAAGUCCAAGUCAUCGUAGCCCCAGAAAGAGGCAGCCAAUUAGCCAAGACCUUAAAUCCCGUCUGGGGCCACAAAGGUCUCCUGCAGAAUCGCUCAGCGCUUCGCCCUCAACCUCCCCAUCGGGACAGAGAGGUUUGGUUAGCUAUGCAGAUUGAUCACUCAUCCCUCCAUUUGCAUGCUGCCUGCCUGCUCUGAUGACUUGCGAGUUUUGUUGUUGUUGUCAUAUGAUACUCGUCACAUUUGGCUGUUGUUGCUUUUCAGAUUUUGUUGAAUAUUAAUCAAAUUUAAAGACUAGUUUUAUUUCAGAAUUAGAUUUUGGGGAUUUAAUAAUGUGCGAUAACACAAUUCUUUUGUUGUGGCUCAUCGACCUAUUGAGUAAUUUAAAUCUAUAAUAGAUUUGAGCUUUUAUUGGGCUCUCACACUAAUAAUCCUUAUGGACCAUUCGCCUAUUAAUCACAUAUUAUUUUGAGCUUAAAUUGGGCUUUAUUUAUAAGUGAAAACAAUUCUUUAGUUAUGGCCCAUGGUCCUAUUGUAAAGCUUAUAUUGGUCUUAAGAAUGUGUGAGUUAUAAAAAAGGCCUCCUUGACUUUUGGAGAAAAUAAAAUAAAAAGUGUACGGAAGAGGGGGUGAGAGUUUCUUUUCUGAGAGUGUCAGAUCUGAGAGCGAAGGAAGGAUGCGAGUGGGUGACAAUCGGUAAUAGAGAGCAUCAUAGAAGCCGCGUGACCUCAUAUCGAAUUGAGAUGGAGGAAGCUGCUUCUGUGGGCGAUGCACAUGCACGGGGGAAGCACAUGAUCCUUGCGGAGCUUGGUCGUGUGGAACAGGAAGUCAGAUUCUUGGAGGUGAGAGAUUCUUCUUCUUCUUUCUAUUCUAUUUUUAGCUGCCUAAUUCACACUUGCUCGAUGUUAUUAGGUUGUAGACUGUUUUCUAAGAACUGGCUCAUGUGUUCGAAAUCUAUUCUCCGUUGAUUUUUGCUUACCUCAUUCCUUCUUAUAUACUUGUGAUCAUAGUCCAGCUCCCCCUUUUCUCAUUCAUAUGAUGUGCUUUUCAAUCUUGGAUUGUAUGUGUGCACUCUUUUGUGUCUUCAUCUUUGAAUUUCCCCAGAAUUCGUUGCUAUUACUCUCCAGAAAAAGUUGGAAGAGCUCGGCCAGACAGAUAGUGUAUCAACCCAGUGUGAGGAGUAAGUGAGGGAAUCUCACCCUAUCUUUUCUUUAGUUAGUUUCCUGAAACUUGCGUGUCUACUGGUGUGAUCAACUUGUGUAUUGUCAUGACUCACAGGCUGCUUUGUGUCAUCGAGAAAUCACCUGACCCUCUCUUGCCACUGUGAGUUGCUUCCAACUCUUUUUGGUGUUUACAUUUUGGUUGCUGUCUGAUGCUGUGUGGUUUUGGCAGGACCAAGGGACCUUUGAACUUAGGAUGGGACCGGUGGUUUGAAGCACCAAAUGGGGGAGAACGCUGCAGAUGCUUUAUACUUUGAUUCAUGAUAGUAAAAUGUAGUAGUUACUAUAUAGGCUUGGCAUUUUUGGUGGUAAAAUAUCUUUAACAUGGGACCAAACUAUUAUCAAAAUGUGUGUGUUUCAACAUUGUGUGCAUCUUCCCUUACUAGUAAAAUCGUACAGGUUACGAUGAGCAUUGGAUUGUAUAUAAUGGUUUAGUUGCACGUAUGUAAACAGUAUAUGUUUAAUUUUGUCUGUAUGAGAUCCGAGCAAUGGUGUAUUAGCUUCUCAGGAGCAUUUUCUUUCUCUAACUGUAAUGUUUCAUGCAUAAAAUAUAUCUUCUCUCUUGUCAUUAGCCUUGUCAAUGUUGCUAUCACAGGUUUCUGGUGCGCUGGAUCACGUUCACAAUAUAUGACUUUUUUUUUUAUGUCAAAGAACAUAACACACAAAUGGUGCUAAUGUCUCGUUGUACAAUACCUGGGACGUUGGAAGUAUCUACAGUCUGAACAGUUGGUGGCGGAGCUGCAGGGGCAUGGGCUGCCUGCUGUGUUUGAGGACUUGCUGGUUGCACAGAACCUAUAACAGAUCUUGGAGCAACUCCUGGAGUUGACAUAGGUGUAAAUCCUAUGGGUCCAGCUCCUGGACCAACUACUUGGGGCAUCUUGGGGUUAGAAUAUUUCCUAAUUUGUGAAGGGACAGAGGAUGCAUAUGAACCAGGACCAGGAGGAACGGGGUAUGCAUUGUUAGAUUGUCCCUGAUCACAUAGCUGCUAGCUUAAUCAAACUAAAAAGUGCCAGAAAAUUCAAACACAGUUGAGUUGAUGAAUAACACACGGUGAAUGAAUGAGAAGCAAUGGUUGGCUGCUAAUAUUGGUAUGCGUUCUUCAGUGCAGGGGGAGUUGAUGGAACAAAAGUAGUUCUCAUGGAUGGCUGAGCAUUGCUUGCAGGUGCCGAAGGAUAUGAUGGCUGCAUAUACACAUGUUUGUCAAGAAAUUUUGGCCCAAAAAACCUAUACAUAACAAACAAAACAGUUCCCCACCACAAACUUUUCCUCGCGACCUCUAAGAUAUAGAUUUUACAGAACCAAACUGAAGCAAAGGUCUAACUUAUCCCAUUUUCCGGACAUGUCAUUAGAGGCUGAAAUUCGGUUGAGGAGUAUAUUUUUCGGGGUUUUUGGCAUUUGGCCACCACAUACAUAAUCCAGAUGAUGUCUUCCUAUCUCAAAAAAUUGACCAAUACCCUAUAAAAUAAACGGAAAAUCUUCUGAUCUAGACAUCUGAAAACUGCCUGAUAAUGAUGACCAUUUAUGCAUAUGAUGUUGUAACGAAGAAUGUGUAAAAGGAAAUGCAACAAAGCCAAAACUUCAGGAACCUGCGGUGCUGGCUGAGCUUGGUGAGGCAUAAACAUGGUUGCUUGUUGCAUUGGUGGAUGUGAAGCUGGGGGCACAUAUCCUCCAACAUAAGAAUCGGUGUAUGGUUGUUGAUAGUGAUUAUCAUAUGGGUUACUGUCUUACUGAUAAUGUUUGGUUGCGCAUGUGUUGGCUCAUAAGCCACAGAAGAAUACAUGCUAAGUAUGUUGUCCGUACAAGCUAUAUCCAGACUCUAGUUUAAAGACAGUUGCAGAGAAAAAAAGAAUGAGACCUGAUUAUAUGGUAUGGUGCUUUGAAGCUGAAUCUUGAUUGGCUAUUGAAAAAGUUUUUGUUUCCCUUUUAAGAAAUCAAGUUUUUAUGAAUCUUGAUUGGCUAAUAAAAUGCCUUUUUUUUAAACACUUGCGGGAUUUUAUUAUGACAUAGAAAUUGUAAAGUCGUAGUGUAAUACAUAAUUAAGAAAGCAAGGAACAUAGUUAUAAUAUAAAUAGGACACAUCUCCAUGAAUCUCCCGCUUCGCUAAUUUAUCUGCCACCUGAUUUGAGUUUCUGUUUGUCCAUAUAAAUUGCAUUAUUCCAGUUUUCUACUCUACUAUAUAAUUUCUCGUGUCCAAUUAUAUCCAUCAAAAUGAAGAACUUGACGAUUGAGGAUGUCAAUUGCUUUUCUACAGUCACUUUCAUGUAACUUCUACUCCAAGCAUGUUGAAGAGCCAUAAGAAUUGCUUGUAACUCACUUUCAAGGACAUUCUGAACUUUUUUUCCUACUGCCUGCACUGUUCCUUGAUAGCUUCCAAAAGAGUCCCUGAUAAUAAAACCCACUUUACUUGCUUGAUCCACAUUAAUAAAAAAUCUAUCAACAUUAUACUUUAUCCAUUCAUCUGGUGGUCUUCUCCAUUUGUUAAGGCGACUGUCAUUUUGAGUGCUAGGAAUCCUUCUUUGUUCUGCUUCAAGAGUUUGAUUACUAUUCCAUCAUUCUCUAACAUCCGUAUAAUCAAAGCUGAUAAAAUGCUUUAUGAAAAACAAAAUCUUUGUUAAGAAAAAAGAAAAAAAAUGAAAAUCAUUCGAAAAAGUAAAAAAAAACCAGUACCUAAAUUUGGAGGAAGAAAAUGAAUAUAGUUGCGGAUUUAUAUUUAAAUGUGUUUAAAAUGUCUUUUGAAAAUAAAGAAAGAAGAAAUUGCUAGUUUAAAAAAAGAGAAGAAAAAAAGAAAUUGCAAUCUGCAUCGAUGGUCAAGAAUAUGACAGGUGUCGAGUACUAAGUAAGCUGUAUUGUAACAGUGGUGCACUAGCAUGCAGAAUAUAAUAGCUUAGAUUGCUAUCAUUAUCCCCUUUGUGGAUUAGGUAGUGCUCUCACUUCGCCUUCUCUACACAAACAAAACUGGUUCGCUAAGAGCUCCGACAAUGGCUGUCUGCGCAACUCACUCCUCUCUCAUGAUAGCAUACGCCGCAUCCAAGGACCUUACAAUUCCGUCUCUUUUCUCAUCUGCCAACCCAAGACCCAACAAGUUGAGCGUCGCACUCUAUCCCCCUCUUGUUCUCCUUGCGGGGAGAAGAGCUUCGAACCCAUCCUUCCCGGUGGUUGUCUCAGCCGUAGCCGCAGAGGCUGAUGUCGACACGGAGGACGCGGAGCAGAACGAAGCCACCUCCACCACCGCCACAGCCGUCCUCGAUCCGCCAAAGCCUAAGAAAGGAAAAGCAGCUUUGCUUCUCAAGAGAGAUAGAGUAUGCUUUGCUUAUCCAUCCUUUCCUUUACAAUCCCAAGCUCUAAACAUGAUUUUUUUUUCUUUCUAUGACGAUGAUGAUUCUUUUAUGUUUGUUUGUUUGUUACUCUCAUUUGGCAGACAAGGUCUAAGAGGUUUCUGGAAAUCCAAAAGCUAAGGGAAACCAAAAAGGAGUACGACGUCAAGACUGCUAUAUCUUUGCUUAAGCAAACCGCUAACACAAGGUUUGUGGAGUCGGUCGAAGCCCAUUUCCGUCUCAACAUCGAUCCUAAGUACAAUGAUCAGCAGCUGCGAGCAACCGUAUGGUUUUUUUUAUUUUGCUUUACAUAUAUGUAUAGCUUUGUGUUUCGUUGAAAUUUAAAUCUGAACGCAUUGUCUUUGGUAGGUGAGCCUUCCUAAAGGAACAGGGCAAACUGUUAAAGUGGCUGUUCUUGCACAAGGUAACUAAUUGCCCCCCCUCCCCUCCCCUCCCCUCCCCUCCCAAAUGCUAAGUUAGUCGGACAGUUCAUUCCAAGGGACUCUGUAGAAAAUACUUUGUGUGGUUGACCUUCUAUUAUUUUGUUUGGAUGGAUUGGUGUAUUUCUAUAGAGAAAAAUGUGCUGGGAUCAUUCUUUUCCUUUCUUUCUGUUUCUCUAAGUUAUUUCCAUGAUGAAUAAUAUCCAGGUGAGAAGGUCGAUGAAGCAAAAAAUGCAGGGGCAGAUAUUGUGGGCAGUGAUGAUUUGAUCGAACAGAUAAAAGGAGGGUUCAUGGAGUUCGAUAAGUUAAUUGCAUCCCCGGAUAUGAUGGUCAAGGUGUGUUUUUACUCAUUUGUUAAUAACAAAAAUAAACUUGAAUAGCUGUUACGACAUUCAUUCUUGGCAAAGAAUGUGACAUGAGACAAAUGUUGCUCGUCAUCUCUUAUUACUAAACCUUCUUUAACUUGGGCGGUUAGGUUGCUGGCCUGGGAAAGAUUCUUGGUCCACGAGGACUCAUGCCAAAUCCCAAGGCUGGUACCGUCACAGCUAACAUUCCACAGGUUAGCCUACUACUUACUCAGGCAGGCAAAAUCAUCUUCGGGUAAUCAAUCAUAGUAUAAUGAUGAUAUGCAUAAAUCUAUCUCAGGCUAUAGAAGAGUUCAAGAAGGGAAAAGUAGAAUUCAGAGCAGACAAAACUGGGAUUGUUCACAUUCCGUUUGGGAAAGUGAAUUUCACAGAGGAAGACCUGCUCGUAAACUUCCUUGCAGCAGUGGUAGGCUGAUUCUCCCCCAUUUAAUAACGUUGUUUAUCUCUUGUGCUGCUGAAUAAAAAGAGUGGAACGUAAAUGCAGAAAUCGGUGGAGACAAACAAGCCAAAGGGAGCAAAAGGAGUGUACUGGAAAAGCGCACACAUAUGUUCGUCAAUGGGGCCAUCCAUCAAGUUGAACAUAAGGGAGAUGAUAGACUUCAAGCCAUAAAUAACCACAUUUGUGUUUUUUUUUUUGUGAGUGUAGGCGAACACCAUUAGUUAUCUCUUGUAUACCUCACCGGUUGUAUCACCUUAACUCUGAUAAGACCAUUUGCUUUAUUGAUUAUUACUGUUAAAAUUGCGAGGCCUCUAUUGCCUUAAUGCCUGCCUUCACCACUGGAGAUGAGAGAACACACGAGUCUUUUUUUUUUUAAAUAAAAAAAAAAACAAAUAUCCUUGAAAUUGGAAGAUAAAAUGAGAUAAUUUCAUGAGGCCGUUACGUUGCGACGUGGCAGCGUUUUCUGCCAAGGAUACAAAGCUCGUGAGUGAGUGAAAAGGAAGGUUCGUAAUCCUUCCUUGCAAUCAAUCGAUCAUUCAUGGCGGAGAACUGCAUAGUUUCGGUCAACCCUAAACCCUCAAAGGGAUUAUCCUCUAAGCUUCUCGAUCUUGUGGAGAGAGUUGUUGUGAAGCUCAUGCACGAUGCUUCUCUGCCUCUCCACUACCUCUCCGGCAACUUCGCUCCCGUGCGGGAUGAAACUCCUCCGGUGAAGGAUCUCCCCGUCGUCCAUGGAUUUCUUCCAGUAAGUGAGCUCUUUAAUUUACACACUCCAUAUCCUUUUCCGAGGAAGGUUCUAAUUCGUCUUUUUUAUAUUUCCCAGGAGUGCUUGAAUGGUGAAUUUGUGAGGGUUGGUCCAAAUCCCAAGUUUGAUCCCGUCGCUGGAUAUCACUGGCAUGUCUAUCUUCUUCCAUUUGUAUUUUUUAUUUCUGCACUCUCCUCUUCUUCUUCUUCUUCUUCUUAUUAUUAUUGCUUCCCUUUCUUUUCAGGUUUGAUGGAGAUGGGUACGCCAACUAACUGUUUCUAUCGUCUCAUCAAACCCUAUGACCUGCUUAAUUCCUUUCUCUUUCAUUAUCUCUCACCCGAGAAUCUUCCUCUCACACACCUUCAUUAAUUACUUCAGGAUGAUACAUGCUGUACGCAUCAAAGAUGGGAAAGCAACUUAUGUUUCUCGUUAUGUUAAGACAUCACGCCUCAAGCAGGAAGAGUUUUUCGGAGCUCCCAAAUUCAUGAAGAUUGGGGACCUUAAGGGUCUUUUGGGAUUGCUUAUGGUCUAUCUCCAACAGCUCAGAACCAAACUGAAAGUUUUGGACGUCUCUUAUGGACAUGGAACUGGUUGGUUUGGUUGCUUCUUCCCUUUUACUUUCUCUCGUAGCUAAAAAAUAAAAAUAAAAUCUCGCUCUCUUUCUCCAUGUACCAGCUAAUACAGCCCUCGUCUAUCACCAUGGAAAACUUCUAGCUCUCUCGGAGGCAGAUAAGCCAUGUUAUUCUCUACUACCUUUUCGUUUUUCUUUUUUUUUAAUACAAAGUUAGCUCAGAUUUUUGAACUUAAUCUAUUUAGAGACCAAAUCUUCUGGUAUCUUGGCAGUGUUUUGCGUCAAUUUUUAACAUAAAAGAAAAGCUAGAUUGGAAGGUUUAUGUUUGCUAUCUUAUAACUUCAAAGCUUUUCGUUUGUAGAUGUCGUCAAAGUCUUGGAAGAUGGAGACCUUCAAACUCUUGGCAUGAUGGAUUAUGACAAGAGAUUGACCCACUCCUUCACUGCACACCCUAAAGUUGACCCAACUACCGGUAAGUCUUCCCUUAUCUCCUGACCCGCAAGCUACUUAUUCUGUUGACUCAUCAUGGUCGGACCCUCUCUUACAGGUGAAAUGUUUACAUUUGGCUAUUCGCAAACGCCACCUUAUCUCACCUACAGAGUGAUCUCGGAAGACGGCUUUAUGCAUGACCCUGUCCCAAUUACUAUAUCUGAGCCAAUCAUGAUGCACGAUUUUGCUAUUACUGAGACUUACGCAAUCUUCAUGGAUCUUCCUAUGCACUUCAGGCCAAAGGUACGUUGUUCAUCAAGUUUAUAUAUAUAUAUAGGUCACACAAGAGAUUUUUGCUUCCUAUAUACUUUUGUUGAAAUGCCACAAGAGAAGAUGAUUAUAUAGCAAAUAUGGAAACUCUUUUUUUUUUAUAUAUAUUUCCUUGUGAGAAUCCUAGAUUCAUGUGUAACUGAUUCUCUAGGAAAUGGUGAAAGAGAAGAAAAUGGUAUACUCAUUUGAUCCAACAAAAAAGGCUCGUUUUGGUGUUCUUCCACGCUAUGCCAAGGAUGAACUCAUGAUUAGAUGGUUUGAGCUUCCCAACUGCUUUAUAUUCCAUAACGGUGUGUGCUUUGCUAUGCUAUGUCUGUUCAAGGGAUCAUGUUGUCAAAAUUUCAUAUUCGAUAUAUACCAAUCAAACCUCUGUAAAUGGCUCCUUUUAAUUUUAUCCAGCCAAUGCUUGGGAAGAAGAGGAUGAAGUCGUCCUCAUCACUUGUCGCCUUGAGAAUCCAGAUCUUGACAUGGUCGGCGGGGAUGCGAAAGAAAAACUUGAGAACUUUAGCAACGAACUGUAAGAAUCACUGACCUGUUUUACUCUCUCGUAAACCAUAUGCUCUGUCUCAACUAUUUCUUUUGCAGGUACGAAAUGAGAUUUAACAUGAAAACGGGCUCAGCUUCUCAGAAAAAACUAUCGCCAUCUGCAGUUGAUUUCCCCAGAAUCAACGAGUGCUACACUGGAAAGUAUGAGUUCACCCUUGUCCUUGUGUGUUUGAUAUUUUAUGCAUUGUGUCCCUAGCAAGGAAAUGCAAUGUUUUCUUGUUUCUGUGGUGCGUUUUAGGAAACAGCGAUAUGUAUAUGGAACAAUCCUGGACAGUAUCGCCAAGGUUACAGGAAUUAUCAAGUUUGAUCUGCAUGCGGAAGCUGAGACAGGGAAAGAAAUACUGGAAGUAGGAGGCAAUAUCAAAGGAAUCUAUGAGCUGGGUCAAGGCAGAUACGGUUCAGAGGCUAUAUAUGUCCCUCGUGAGGCAGGGGAAGAAGAUGAUGGUUACUUGAUAUUCUUUGUUCAUGAUGAAAACACAGGGUAGUUAUUGCUCUCCUGCUAUAGUUUCGUAUUUCUCAAUUGUUCAUUUUGUCUUUCUGGUACAAUAAUAUGUUGAUUGAACAUUGGUAGGAAAUCAUGUGUGAAUGUGAUUGACGCAAAAACAAUGUCUGCUGAGCCAGUGGCAGUGGUGGAGCUGCCGCAUAGGGUUCCAUAUGGCUUCCAUGCCUUCUUUGUUACAGAGGUACUAAAACCAAAACCCAUAAUUAUAUAUAUCUUCUUUACAAGGGAUGCAACUCUAACCACCAGGGGGUCUUGUCUUGGCAGGAACAACUCCAGGAACAAACUCUUACAUAAGACAAGUUGUGUGCAUAAUUAUAUUAUAUGUUAUAUGCUACUAUGAAGACGUUGGAGAACCGAGAAAUUGGAUGAUUCAGACAUUCGUAUUACAUAUACUACAUGUAUAUUCAUUUGAAUGCCUCGUUUCUGUUUACAUAAGAAUUUACAUUUUCAUUUCAAUAGUAAACUAGGGUUCUUCUAUCUUCCUUGGCCUUUUGAAUUGAGGGAGAUUGGUGGCUUUCUCCUUUGUUCUUUACGUGCUCUAGGUUCAAGCAGCUUCAGUAGUACCCCCACCUCAAAUCUUGUAGUAAGCCUGUUUUCUUACUACCAGAAGAAUCGAACGAAGAGGGAAAAUAACAUUUGAAGGCUUGAUAGUAGAGUAGAGGGUGGGAGAACUGAACUAGAACCUUAAGGAUAGGGACCAUCCCCGUAUAUGGAUUUAGCUUAUAUGGUUGUAGCUAGCAUUUAGUAUAACAAUACGAGUGUUACAAUACACACAUAAACGAAAAUGUAAGUAGAAUGGAAAAUUACAUGUACAGAGAGGACUGAACAUGAGAGAGUAGUAUAGUGUGGACAUCAUCUUCUAUUAGACUAAUUUUUCUUCUUCUUCUUCUGAGUUUUCACUACACUAAAACAAUUAACUUAAUGGAGACAAUCAAUGGAUGCUGGGCUCCCCAAAGACCUCGCUGUUACAGACCGGGCAAAUCUGCAUUCCAUAGGCAUAGAGACGUUUCAGUUGAACUGAGGAUGUGAAACGAAGAACAUAUAAUGAAUAAUACCUUGUUGAUGCUUAGCCACUUAGAUAUGCAUUCGGAAUGAUACACGUGCUUGCACGGAAGAUUCAUCUGCUUCUCCCCAAUCUUGUACUUGAGCUGGCAUAUCACACACCUGAUCAUCAUCACACAAUGUUGAGUAUAAACCCUGUGAUGAACAUUUGUUAUAAGGUAGCUAGCUCUCUUUACCUAUCCCCUGCUCUUUUCCUGGAGAAGAAGCUCCCGAACUUAUAUUUUCUAGUGGGAAGCGUUUCUAUGAGUUCCUGAGAUAGCCCUCGGCUUUCUGAUCCUACCGCUUCCCCGAGCUCUAUUAAUUCCUGAUCCACAAAACCAUUUAGAUGCAAGUCAAGUGCCUCUCUUGACAAUCAAGUAAAAAGAAAAGAAAAGCUCACAAGGACUGGAACAAACCUCAUAGGUCAUUGUAUCCGGAUCAAUGUCGUCUUGCCAGGAUACCUGUGGCAUUAACGAGCAUAUAGAAUUCAUAUCAGUGUUUUAAAUCGCAAAGAUUGACACAGAUUCAAAAACCUUUCGAUCAGGUGCACAUACCUGAGGACUCUCGGGAUCAUGUUCAAUUGCAAUGCCUGUAAAAAUAGACAUAUUCUUAGCUUAGAAAAAUCCAACAAGGGAUAAAAAAAAAAAAAAGAAGAAGAUAAUCAGCAGAAAUAACUAACAUUCUUCAGCGUCAGAGUGAUCAUCCGUGUCCCCGACUUGGACAGAGCGUGGAACUGACUCAUCAACGUUUACCAUGGGAAGGUACUCCCAAUUGGUUCUCCCAAUUGACAUCCUGGAUAGAUGAUCGUUCAGGUCAUAAGAACCAUAGAAAGAAGCAUUAUCUGAUCCUGAGAAUCCAAACUUGUAUGCAUUUGUGUUCAUGGUCCAGUACAGGCUGUCCUGAGAAUAGGCAAAGUAAGGAAACUUAUGUAGGCAGACAUUGUAAGAUACAAAAACAAUAUUGAAGGCACAGGAAAGAAAGGGUGGAAAGUACCUGAUGAGGAUGCAUUGUUCCGGCAUGAGCAUAGUUUAGGGGAUCCUGAGCCGCACCACCAUAAAAGUCCAUGUAACUAGCAGAAGCCGCAUACGGGAAACCCGUCUCAGGGUAAUGAGAAUCUGGUCUAUCUCCAUUCAUUUCAGCUAUUGCUAUUGGAAGGAGAGAGUGAGAUGCGUUUAGAAGAAGCGGGAGGAGCGCUAAUGUUAAAAUAAAACAGACAAGAAAAAAGGUAAAAGCAUGGGAGGGGAAAGUGUUGAGCAAUGUCAGACUUAAGUGUCCUUGAGGUAAGUGAGUAGAUUUGAAAUCCAGCUUGAAAUACCUUACAAGAUACGAAUGAACGAACCCCUAUCACACAACUCCAGGGGGGAAAAUAAACAAAACUUUUGCCUAUUCAUGUUAAAAGGGUUGAAACAGAACAAGUCCAGGAAGCAGUAGAAGCCGAGGAGUAGUGACAGAUGUGUCACCGACAAUGGCUGUCUGCGCAACUCACUCCUCUCUCAUGAUAGCAUACGCCGCAUCCAAGGACCUUACAAUUCCGUCUCUUUUCUCAUCUGCCAACCCAAGACCCAACAAGUUGAGCGUCGCACUCUAUCCCCCUCUUGUUCUCCUUGCGGGGAGAAGAGCUUCGAACCCAUCCUUCCCGGUGGUUGUCUCAGCCGUAGCCGCAGAGGCUGAUGUCGACACGGAGGACGCGGAGCAGAACGAAGCCACCUCCACCACCGCCACAGCCGUCCUCGAUCCGCCAAAGCCUAAGAAAGGAAAAGCAGCUUUGCUUCUCAAGAGAGAUAGAGUAUGCUUUGCUUAUCCAUCCUUUCCUUUACAAUCCCA
rnacentral:lncRNA from 1 species